rnacentral:pre_miRNA from 1 species
UUAACUCUAAUUUGUAUGGAAGAACGUUUGCCGCUAAGGGAGCUGUUCCAACUGCAUACAAAUUUGAGUUA